GCCUGGUCCGCCUCAUGCUACCGUCCACCGCCAGGAUGUGCCGCAUCGCCGUGUCUUGCUCUGCCUCCGGCCCCGCUGAUGAGGAAGGCAUGACCUACAAGGACGCCGACGUGGACAUCGACGCCGGCACUGAGCUGGUGUGCCACAUCCGCAAGCUGGCCCCCGGGAUUGGCUUCGGCGGCCUCUACCCCCACGGUACCUAUCUUUGGUGUUGAUUGUCGCCUCACAUUUUUGUCAGAGCUUUGGUUAAUAGCAGAUAUCUUGGGAGUUCGGGUAACUGCGUUGCCCCCAACUGGUUUUUGGCGUCUAUGAUGAGUGUCUUCGUAAGUACGGCUCGGUGAAUGUGUGGAGAUGUUGCACAGAAAUAUUCGACUAUUUAAGGAACGCAGGACUACAACCAGCAGCGGCCGUCUCAGGAGCUGGUCGCCAAGGAUUUGCACGGCACCGAGUGGAAGUUCCGCCACAUCUAUCGAGGAUGACAAGUUGUCGCAUCUCGAGCAUGUCUCAUAGGAGAGUGGAAUGAAGUCCAUUGUAUUGUUGGAAUAGUAGCAGAUGUGGCAUUGUUCUAUUGUGCAAUUCUAUUCGUUCUUGCUAUAUUCCUGUGUAAGGAAAUGUAUUCAUGAGAUGAGUU